UACGGAGGGAGCUAGCGUUGUUCGGAAUUACUGGGCGUAAAGCGCACGUAGGCGGCGAUUCAAGUCAGAGGUGAAAGCCCGGGGCUCAACCCCGGAACUGCCUUUGAAACUAGAUUGCUAGAAUCCUGGAGAGGUUAGUGGAAUUCCGAGUGUAGAGGUGAAAUUCGUAGAUAUUCGGAAGAGCACCAGUGGCGAAGGCGACUAACUGGACAGGUAUUGACGCUGAGGUGCGAAAGCGUGGGGAGCAAACAGG
rnacentral:rRNA from 1 species